rnacentral:tRNA from 1 species
AAAGAAGUUAGUUAAUAAAUAAUAUUGAAUUGUCAAAUCAAAGUAAUAAUAUAAUUACUUCUU